rnacentral:rRNA from 1 species
GAUGAACGCUGGCGGCGUGCCUAAUACAUGCAAGUCGAGCGAACAGAUGAGGAGCUUGCUCCUCUGACGUUAGCGGCGGACGGGUGAGUAACACGUGGAUACCCUACCUAUAAGACUGGGAUAACUUCGGGAAACCGGAGCUAAUACCGGAUAAUAUAUUGAACCGCAUGGUUCAAUAGUGAAAGACGGUUUUGCUGUCACUUAUAGAUGGAUCCGCGCCGCAUUAGCUAGUUGGUAAGGUAACGGCUUACCAAGGCAACGAUGCGUAGCCGACCUGAGAGGGUGAUCGGCCACACUGGAACUGAGACACGGUCCAGACUCCUACGGGAGGCAGCAGUAGGGAAUCUUCCGCAAUGGGCGAAAGCCUGACGGAGCAACGCCGCGUGAGUGAUGAAGGUCUUCGGAUCGUAAAACUCUGUUAUUAGGAAAGAACAAAUGUGUAAGUAACUAUGCACGUCUUGACGGUACCUAAUCAGAAAGCCACGGCUAACUACGUG